GUGGGGAAUCUUCCGCAAUGGACGAAAGUCUGACGGAGCAACGCCGCGUGAGUGAUGAAGGUCUUCGGAUUGUAAAGCUCUGUUAAUCGGGACGAAAGAGCCUAGUGUGAAUAAUGCUAGGAAGUGACGGUACCGGAAUAGAAAGCCACGGCUAACUACGUGCCAGCAGCCGCGGUAAUACGUAGGUGGCAAGCGUUGUCCGGAAUUAUUGGGCGUAAAGCGCGCGCAGGCGGAUCUGCCAGUCUGUCUUAAAAGUUCGGGGCUUAACCCCGUGAUGAGAUGGAAACUACAGAUCUAGAGUAUCGGAGAGGAAAGUGGAAUUCCUAGUGUAGCGGUGAAAUGCGUAGAUAUUAGGAAGAACACCAGUGGCGAAGGCGACUUUCUGGACGAAAACUGACGCUGAGGCGCGAAAGCCAGGGGAGCGAACGGGAUUAGAUACCCCGGUAGUCC
rnacentral:rRNA from 1 species